AGAGUUUGAUCCUGGCUCAGGAUGAACGCUGGCGGUAUGCUUAACACAUGCAAGUCGAACGAAAGUUUUUAACUUUAGUGGCGAACGGGUGCGUAAUACGUGAGAAUCUGCCCUUAGGAGGAGNAUAACUGCUGGAAACGGCUGCUAACACUCCAUAUGUCGAGAGAUGAAAUAAUUUAUUGCCUAAGGAUGAGCUCGCGCCUGAUUAGCUAGUUGGUGAGGUAAUGGCUCACCAAGGCCACGAUCAGUAGCUGGUUUGAGAGAACGAUCAGCCACACUGGGACUGAGACACGGCCCAGACUCCUCCGGGAGGCAGCAGUGAGGAAUUUUCCGCAAUGGGCGAAAGCCUGACGGAGCAAUACCGCGUGAGGGAUGAAGGAUUUUGGUCUGUAAACCUCUUUUCUCAAGAAAGAAGUUCUGACGGUACUUGAGGAAUAAGCAUCGGCUAACUCCGUGCCAGCAGCCGCGGUAAUACGGGGGAUGCAAGCGUUAUCCGGAAUCAUUGGGCGUAAAGCGCCUGUAGGUUGUUUAAUAAGUCUGUUGUUAAAGACUAGGGCUUAACCCUAGAAAAGCAAUGGAAACUACUAGACUAGAGUAUGGCAGGGGUAGAGGGAAUUUCUAGUGUAGCGGUGAAAUGCGUAGAUAUUAGAAAGAACACCGGUGGCGAAAGCGCUCUACUGGACCAUUACUGACACUCAGAGGCGAAAGCUAGGGUAGCAAAAGGGAUUAGAUACCCCUGUAGUCCUAGCCGUAAACGAUGGAUACUAGAUGUUGUGCAUAAUGUACAGUAUCGUAGCUAACGCGUUAAGUAUCCCGCCUGGGGAGUACGCUCGCAAGGGUGAAACUCAAAGGAAUUGACGGGGGCCCGCACAAGCGGUGGAGCAUGUGGUUUAAUUCGAUGCAACGCGAAGAACCUUACCAGGGCUU
rnacentral:rRNA from 1 species